CCUACGGGGGGCUGCAGUAGGGAAUCUUCCGCAAUGGACGAAAGUCUGACGGAGCAACGCCGCGUGAGUGAUGAAGGCCUUCGGGUCGUAAAGCUCUGUUGUCAGGGAAGAACCAGUGCGGGAGUAACUGCCCGCACCUUGACGGUACCUGUCCAGAAAGCCACGGCUAACUACGUGCCAGCAGCCGCGGUAAUACGCAGGGGGCAAGCGUUAUCCGGAAUUACUGGGCGUAAAGGGUGCGUAGGCGGCCCUUCAAGUCAGAGGUGAAAGGAUACGGCUGAAAGGUAGUAAGCCUUUGAAACGGUUGGACUGGACUGGAGGAUGGGAGUGUGGAAUUCCGAGUGGAGCGCUGAAAUGGGUAGAGAUUGGGAGGAACAUCAGUUGCGAAGGUGGCUCCCUGGACUGUAAGUGACGCUGAGGGACGAAAGCGUGGGUAGCGAACAGGAUUAGAUGCCCGUGUAGUC
rnacentral:rRNA from 1 species